GCGCCAGUGGUCCAACCUGGUCAAGACGCGGCCUUCCCAAGGCUGUAAUCCGGGUUCAAAUCCCGGCUGGCGCA
rnacentral:tRNA from 1 species